GACGAACGCUGGCGGCGUGCUUAACACAUGCAAGUCGAACGGAAAGGCCCUGCUUUUGUGGGGUGCUCGAGUGGCGAACGGGGGAGUAACACGUGAGUAACCUGCCCUUGACUUUGGGAUAACUUCAGGAAACUGGGGCUAAUACCGGAUAGGAGCUCCUGCUGCAUGGUGGGGGUUGGAAAGUUUCGGCGGUUGGGGAUGGACUCGCGGCUUAUCAGCUUGUUGGUGUGGUAGUGGCUUACCAAGGCUUUGAAGGGUAGCCCGCCUGAGAGGGGGAACGGCCACAUUGGUCCUGAGAUACGGCCCAGACGCCAACGGUCGGCAGCAGUGGGGAAUAUUGCGGAGUGGGCGGACGCCUGAUGCAGCAACGCCGCGAGCGGGAUGCCGGCUUUCGGGUUGUAAACCGAUUUGGACUGUGCCGAAGCGUGAGUGACGGUAAUGGGUAAAGAAGCACCGGCUAACUACGUG
rnacentral:rRNA from 1 species